rnacentral:rRNA from 1 species
UACGGAGGAUGCGAGCGUUAUCCGGAUUUAUUGGGUUUAAAGGGUGCGUAGGCGGGCUUUUAAGUCAGCGGUAAAAAUUCGGGGCUCAACCCCGUCCGGCCGUUGAAACUGGGGGCCUUGAGUGGGCGAGAAGAAGGCGGAAUGCGUGGUGUAGCGGUGAAAUGCAUAGAUAUCACGCAGAACCCCGAUUGCGAAGGCAGCGUACCGGCCGGUCACUGACGCUGAGGCACGAAAGCGCGGGUAUCGAACAGG